AGUAGUUUGACUCCGNGGCUACGAGGACGAACGGCUGGCGGCGUGCCUAACACAUGCAAGGUCGAGCGGGGACAGUACGACGGACAGGAAGUUUUUCGGAUGGAAUGGAAGAUGUAUGUUCUAGCGGCGGACGGGUGAGUAACGCGUGAGCAACCUGUCCCUUACAGGGGGAUAACACAGCGAAAGCUGUACUAAUACCGCAUAAGACCACAGAGAGACAUCUCACAGGGGUCAAAGGAGCAAUCCGGUAAGGGGUGGGCUCGCGUCCGAUUAGAUAGUUGGUGAGGUAACGGCCCACCAAGUCGACGAUCGGUAGCCGACCUGAGAGGGUGAUCGGCCACAUUGGGACUGAGACACGGACCAGACUCCUACGGGAGGCAGCAGUGAGGAAUAUUGGGCAAUGGGGGGAACCCUGACCCAGCAACGCCGCGUGAGGGAAGAAGGUUUUCGGAUCGUAAACCUCUGUCCUUGGUGAAGAGGAAGAGACGGUAGCCAAGGAGGAAGCCCCGGCUAACUACGUGCC
rnacentral:rRNA from 1 species